rnacentral:rRNA from 1 species
UUAAACGGCCGCGGUAUUUUGACCGUGCAAAGGUAGCGCAAUCACUUGUCUUUUAAAUGAAGACCUGUAUGAAUGGUGGAACGAGGGCUUAACUGUCUCCCCCUUCUAGUCAAUGAAAUUGAUCUACCCGUGCAGAAGCGGGUAUAAUAAUACAAGACGAGAAGACCCUUUGGAGCUUAAGACAAAAGACCAACUAUGUCAAAAGUCCUAAAAAAGACUAAACCAAAUAGCUCUGGUCCUAAUCUUCGGUUGGGGUGACCACGGGAGAAAACAAAGCUCCCAUGCGGACUGGGAUAUUUCCUAAAACUAAGAGAGACAUCUCUAAGACACAGAACAUCUGACCAUAAAGAUCCGGCUACAUGCCGACCAACGGACCAAGUUACCCUAGGGAUAACAGCGCAAUCCCCUUCCAGAGUCCAUAUCGACAAGGGGGUUUACGACCUCGAUGUUGGAUCAGGACAUCCUAAUGGUGCAGCCGCUAUUAAGGGUUCGUUUGUUCAACGAUUAAAGUCCUAC